rnacentral:rRNA from 1 species
UACCAGCUCUUCGAGUGGUGUGGAUGUUUAUUGGGCCUAAAGCAUCCGUAGCUGGCUGGGCAAGUCCCCUGUUAAAUCCACCUAUUUAAUCGUUGGAGUGCGGGGGAUACUGUUCGGCUAGGGGACGGGAGAGGCAGACGGUAUUUUCGGGGUAGGGGUGAAAUCCUAUAAUCCCGGGAAGACCACCAGUGGCGAAGGCUGUCUGCUAGAACGCGCCCGACGGUGAGGGAUGAAAGCUGGGGGAGCGAACCGGAUUAGAUACCCGGGUAGUCCCAGCUGUAAACGAUGCAGGCUAGGUGUUUGGGCGGCCACGUGCCGCUCUAGUGCCGCAGGGAAGCCGUUAAGCCUGCCGCCUGGGGAGUACGGCCGCAAGGCUGAAACUUAAAGGAAUUGGCGGGGGAGCACCACAAGGGGUGAAGCUUGCGGUUU